GGUGGUUCUUGGGUGAUGCACUCCGAAAUCAGGCUCCCUCCUCUCUGGUUCUGGGUGUGUCACCUGAGAACCGCA
rfam:Myotis davidii contig140007, whole genome shotgun sequence.